rnacentral:rRNA from 1 species
CAUUAUCCAUCUCAAACCAGGUGCGGUCGCGGCCCCCGGGGGCUUGCUCCCGGGUGGUAGGGGUAACACCCUCACGCGCCGCCUGCCUGUACCCUCUUUUUACGAGCACCUUUCGUUCUCCUUCGGCGGGGCAACCUGCCGCUGGAACCAAAACAAAACCUUUUUUGCAUCUAGCAUUACCUGUUCUGAUACAAAUAAUCGUUACAACUUUCAACAAUGGAUCUCUUGGCUCUGGCAUCGAUGAAGAACGCAGCGAAAUGCGAUAAGUAGUGUGAAUUGCAGAAUUCAGUGAAUCAUCGAAUCUUUGAACGCACAUUGCGCCCCUUGGUAUUCCAUGGGGCAUGCCUGUUCGAGCGUCAUCUACACCCUCAAGCUCUGCUUGGUGUUGGGCGUCUGUCCCGCCUCUGCGCGCGGACUCGCCCCAAAUUCAUUGGCAGCGGUCUUUGCCUCCUCUCGCGCAGCACAAUUGCGUCUGCGGGGGGGCGUGGCCCGCGUCCACGAAGCAACAUUACCGUCUUUGACCUCGGAUCAGGUAGGGAUACCCGCUGAACUUAAGCAUAUCAAUAAGCGGAGGAAAAGAAACCAACAGGGAUUGCCCUAGUAACGGCGAGUGAAGCGGCAACAGCUCAAAUUUGAAAUCUGGCUCUCUUUGGGGGUCCGAGUUGUAAUUUUGCAGAGGAUGCUUUGGCAUUGGCGGCGGUCUAAGUUCCUUGGAACAGGACAUCACAGAGGGUGAGAAUCCCGUACGUGGUCGCC